ensembl:lncRNA novel transcript
AGCUUCCAGGACGGGAGCUGUCUGGGGCAGAGCCCUGGCUACGGUGGCCUCGCAGCACAGCGAAAGCACAGGGACUGCGCAGUCGGGAGGCGCUUGCUCUCCGUGCAGACCCCCGGGUGCGCGGCCGCAGUGCCUGCAGCCAUCGCCCUACGGGGCCUCGCGACUCGGGCAUCGCCCCUGCUCUCCAGGCAGGACUAGAGCUUCCAGAAAGUCCCAGGGCACCCCUCGCGCAUCCCAGGGGCCAGGCGGGCGCUGCAAAGCCUGCUGGGAGGUGUAGUUUUCGCUGAAGACGGGGCUGCCCAGAGCCAAAGCAGGGUGGGCUCCAGAGCAAGAAGCCAUCGUGGACGCGGCGUCUGCGGGAGGAAAGCAGCUCCUUCUGGCUUCGCGAAGGCCGCCUAGUCCAGGAGCCCCAGCGCCCUUCUCCCAGCCAGGUGGAUGACAGUUCCCAGCGCCUCGAAGGCCUGCUCUGUGCCGCGCGCCCUGCACACACGAUUGCAUUUCCUGCACGCAGCCCCCCGGCGGGGCAGGUCGAGCCGUUUACGGAUGGAAGAGAGGAGCCCCACACCUUGUUGGAGGCGCCGUCAGCAAAGGUUGAAUUAUUUCUUCUGAGGAUGCAAAGAAUUGAGGUUGCUGCAGACCCAUAUGGAUUUGCCACUGCUAACCCCCAGGUGCCCAGCAGGCCGACAGAGGCUGUGGCCGCCUCUCCCACCUCUUUGAAUUGGGCUGAGAGACAGACGCGCACCUUCCGGAGAGGACCGUCAGGCUGAAGAAGACACAGCUAGUGUCUAACGGGAGGAGACGGUGAUAUGGUUAGGCUUUGUGUCCCCACCCAAAUCUCAUCUUGAACUGUAAUCUCCAUAAUCGUCACAUGUCGAGGGAGAGACCAGGGAGGUGAUUGGAUCAUGGGGACCGUUUCCCCCAUGCUGUUCUCGUCACGAAGCUCUUUGGCAUUUCACAAAGCAAGUUGCAACCAGAGUCUGGCAGCUUCCAUUGUAUCGAACAAUUAAGGAAAACAAUGAUCUGUGAUCACGGCAAGCUUCUGGCCACCUGAAACGCAGAAGGGAGCUUGCUGGGUUUCAGACAUGG